rnacentral:rRNA from 1 species
GUAUCAACGGCAUCACGAGGGUUACACUGUCUCCUUUCUCCAAUCAGUGAAACUGAUCUCCCCGUGAAGAAGCGGGGAUAUAAUCAUAAGACGAGAAGACCCCAUGGAGCUUUAAAUUUUACAGCAACUCAGUCAAACAAACCUUUAUAUCCACAGAGCCAUGCAUGCNAUUUUAGGUUGGGGUGACCGCGGAGNAAAANUNAACCUCCACGACGAAAAGANCUAAAUCUUUAUCCAAGAGCUACAACUCUARGAAUUAGAAUACUAACGACAAUGACCCGAUAAUCGAUCAACGGACCAAGUUACCCUGGGGAUAACAGCGCAAUCUACUUCAAGAGCUCAUAUCGACAAGUAGGCUUACGACCUCGAUGUUGGAUCAGGGUAUCCC